GACGAACGCUGGCGGCGUGCUUAACACAUGCAAGUCGAACGGAAAGGCCCUGCUUGCAGGGUACUCGAGUGGCGAACGGGUGAGUAACACGUGGGUGAUCUGCCCUGCACUUCGGGAUAAGCUUGGGAAACUGGGUCUAAUACCGGAUAGGAGCCAUCUUUAGUGUGGUGGUUGGAAAGUUUUUUCGGUGUAGGAUGAGCUCGCGGCCUAUCAGCUUGUUGGUGGGGUAAUGGCCUACCAAGGCGGCGACGGGUAGCCGGCCUGAGAGGGUGUACGGACACAUUGGGACUGAGAUACGGCCCAGACUCCUACGGGAGGCAGCAGUGGGGAAUAUUGCACAAUGGGCGCAAGCCUGAUGCAGCGACGCCGCGUGGGGGAUGAAGGCCUUCGGGUUGUAAACUCCUUUCGCUAGGGACGAAGCUUUUUUGUGACGGUACCUAGAUAAGAAGCACCGGCUAACUACGUG
rnacentral:rRNA from 1 species